rnacentral:rRNA from 1 species
AACGAACGCUGGCGGUAUGCUUAACACAUGCAAGUCGAACGAAUGCCUUUGGAGCUUGCUUCAAAGUCGUUAGUGGCAAACGGGUGAGUAACACGUGGGAAUCUACCUAUCAGUACGGAAUAACAUUUGGAAACAGAUGCUAAUACCGUAUAUUCUCUUCGGAGGAAAGAUUUAUCGCUGAUAGAUGAGCCCGCGUAAGAUUAGGUAGUUGGUGGGGUAAUGGCCUACCAAGCCGACGAUCUUUAGCUGAUCUGAGAGGAUGAUCAGCCACACUGGGACUGAGACACGGCCCAGACUCCUACGGGAGGCAGCAGUGGGGAAUAUUGGACAAUGGGCGAAAGCCUGAUCCAGCAAUACCGCGUGAAUGAUGAAGGCCUUAGGGUUGUAAAGUUCUUUUAGUAGGGAAGAUAAUGACGGUACCUACAGAAAAGACCCCGGCUAACUCCGUGCCAGCAGCCGCGGUAAGGUGACGCUCU